GACGAACGCUGGCGGCGUGCUUAACACAUGCAAGUCGAACGGAAAGGCCUGCUUUCCCUUGUGGAUUGCGGGUACUCGAGUGGCGAACGGGUGAGUAACACGUGAGUGAUCUGCCCCCAACUUGGGUAUAAGCCUGGGAAACUGGGUCUAAUUCCCGAUAGGACUGCAGGGUGGUGCCUGUGGUGGAAAACGAUUUUCUAGUGGUUGGGGAUGAGCUCGCGGCCUAUCAGCUUGUUGGUGGGGUAAUGGCCUACCAAGGCGGCGACGGGUAGCCGGCCUGAGAGGGUGGACGGCCGCAUUGGGACUGGGACACGGCCCCGACUCCUACGGGCAGCAGCAGAGGGGAAUAUUGCGCAGUGGGCGGAAGCCUGAUGCAGCGACGCCGCGUGGGGGAUGUCGGCCUUCGGGUUGUAAACUCCUGUCGACCGAGAGGAAGCCACCUGGUUGGAAGGGUGGUGACGGUAGUGGUAGAAGAAGCACCGGCUAACUACGUG
rnacentral:rRNA from 1 species